UCUCAGUAGCUCAAUGGUAGAGCAGUCGGGUUCUUACAAUUGUUACAUGAGAGAGGUCGUAGGUUCAAUUCCUACCUGAGAA
rnacentral:tRNA from 2 species